rnacentral:tRNA from 1 species
GGAACAAUAGCAAAGUUGGUCAAUGCGUCGGUUUGAAGCACCGAAGAUAUAGGUUCUCCCG